rnacentral:rRNA from 1 species
AUUGAACGCUGGCGGCAGGCCUAACACAUGCAAGUCGAGCGGAUGAAGGGAGCUUGCUCCUGGAUUCAGCGGCGGACGGGUGAGUAAUGCCUAGGAAUCUGCCUGGUAGUGGGGGAUAACGUCCGGAAACGGGCGCUAAUACCGCAUACGUCCUGAGGGAGAAAGUGGGGGAUCUUCGAACCUCACGCUAUCAGAUAAGCCUAGGUCGGAUUAGCUAGUUGGUGGGGUAAAGGCCUACCAAGGCGACGAUCCGUAACUGGUCUGAGAGGAUGAUCAGUCACACUGGAACUGAGACACGGUCCAGACUCCUACGGGAGGCAGCAGUGGGGAAUAUUGGACAAUGGGCGAAAGCCUGAUCCAGCCAUGCCGCGUGUGUGAAGAAGGUCUUCGGAUUGUAAAGCACUUUAAGUUGGGAGGAAGGGCAGUAAGUUAAUACCUUGCUGUUUUGACGUUACCAACAGAAUAAGCACCGGCUAACUUCGUG